rnacentral:lncRNA from 1 species
AGUUUAGUAGAAAGAAUGUAAAGUGAUAAACAAAGGAUAUCAUAGAUUCAUAGAUAUAGAUACACCAAAUUAUUUUUCAUUUUUGUCAAUUGACAGUGGAGAGCACAGAACAGCGAUAACCACAAUGCCCUUGUAAUUUCAUUAUUGAGAAGAGAUUGUCAGUCAAACAUGUGAUUAAAAUGAAAUGAAAUAAUUAUCUCCCCAAACAAGAAUCGCAAAUUUACAGUAUCCAUUAAUCUGGUGAAGGUUUCAGAGAGACCAACGGUAGGUGAAACAGUGAUAGAUGCCAUUAUUGGUACCAGAGAAGAAGAUUUGGUAGAAAUAUUAAUACUAUUUCUAUGUUUUUGAGUUGAGAGACGAAAGAGAACGUUGUUGGAUUUGUUUGAUUGCAGAAAGCAGGCUGUUUUCAGAGCAAUGGCCAUUAAAGAUGUCUGCGUUUACUACUACUUGUCACUUGCUUCACUGGUGUGACGAUUGACGAAGAAAGGUGUUUU